UCUGAUCUCUAGCUUUUGCUUAAAACUCAAAGGACUUGGUGGAGAUUAUAUCGAUCUAGAGGAGCCUGUUCUGUAAUCGAUAAACCCCGAUAUACCUCACCAUUUCUUGCUAAUUCAGUCUAUAUACCGCCAUC